CGUACACUCCUACGGGAGGCAGCAGUGGGGAAUAUUGCACAAUGGGCGCAAGCCUGAUGCAGCCAUGCCGCGUGUAUGAAGAAGGCCUUCGGGUUGUAAAGUACUUUCAGCGGGGAGGAAGGCGAUAAGGUUAAUAACCUUGUUGAUUGACGUUACCCGCAGAAGAAGCACCGGCUAACUCCGUGCCAGCAGCCGCGGUAAUACGGAGGGUGCAAGCGUUAAUCGGAAUUACUGGGCGUAAAGCGCACGCAGGCGGUCUGUCAAGUCGGAUGUGAAAUCCCCGGGCUCAACCUGGGAACUGCAUUCGAAACUGGCAGGCUAGAGUCUUGUAGAGGGGGGUAGAAUUCCAGGUGUAGCGGUGAAAUGCGUAGAGAUCUGGAGGAAUACCGGUGGCGAAGGCGGCCCCCUGGACAAAGACUGACGCUCAGGUGCGAAAGCGUGGGGAGCAAACAGGAUUAGAAACCCGGGUAGUCCC
rnacentral:rRNA from 1 species